AAUGAUAAUUUUGUCUCUAGCACCAGCAUCAUACACCUAGUAUAUUUUUUUUUUACGGCAUGACAGUUAUUUUAGGAGUUCAAGUGGUGUUUAAAAAUAUAUUAUGUGCCAUAAAAUCUUACCUAUCCUGCAUAGGUAUUGAAAUCUUAGCUUAACAUCUGCCCACAUAAAUGAUCCAAAGGAGUCUACCACAUUAUCCCAUGGUUUAUACCAAGUGAUGUUCAAUGUAGUGUUCUCAAUUGUAGCUAAUUGCAAAAUCUGGAAAUCAUAUAUCAUGGAAUUGAUAAUUGGUAGUUAACCUUCAAAAAUGAAAAGCUCCAAGUUUAUAUGGAAAUGCCUUUCAGCUGGAAAUUGUUUACCUCAGGGACAGCUUAAUAGACAAAUUUUCUGGGAACCUCUGAGAGUCCUCUUUUAAAUUAACAACAAUAAUAAAG
rnacentral:misc_RNA from 1 species